rnacentral:rRNA from 1 species
GACGAACGCUGGCGGCGUGCCUAAUACAUGCAAGUAGAACGCACAGUUUAUACCGUAGCUUGCUACACCAUAGACUGUGAGUUGCGAACGGGUGAGUAACGCGUAGGUAACCUGCCUGGUAGCGGGGGAUAACUAUUGGAAACGAUAGCUAAUACCGCAUAAUAUUGAUUAUUGCAUGAUAAUUGAUUGAAAGAUGCUAUUGCAUCACUACCAGAUGGACCUGCGUUGUAUUAGCUAGUAGGUGAGGUAACGGAUCACCUAGGCGACGAUACAUAGCCGACCUGAGAGGGUGAUCGGCCACACUGGGACUGAGACACGGCCCAGACUCCUACGGGAGGCAGCAGUAGGGAAUCUUCGGCAAUGGACGAAAGUCUGACCGAGCAACGCCGCGUGAGUGAAGAAGGUUUUCGGAUCGUAAAGCUCUGUUGUAAGAGAAGAACGGGUGUGAGAGUGGAAAGUUCACACUGUGACGGUAUCUUACCAGAAAGGGACGGCUAACUACGUG